rnacentral:rRNA from 1 species
AUGCAAGUCGAGCGCCCUUUUCGGAGGGAGCGGCAGACGGGUGAGUAACGCGUGGGAAUCUACCUAUCUCUAGGGAAUAACUCAGGGAAACUUGUGCUAAUACCCUAUACGUCCUUCGGGAGAAAGAUUUAUCGGAGAUGGAUGAGCCCGCGUUGGAUUAGCUAGUUGGUGGGGUAAAGGCCUACCAAGGCGACGAUCCAUAGCUGGUCUGAGAGGAUGAUCAGCCACACUGGGACUGAGACACGGCCCAGACUCCUACGGGAGGCAGCAGUGGGGAAUAUUGGACAAUGGGCGCAAGCCUGAUCCAGCCAUGCCGCGUGAGUGAUGAAGGCCCUAGGGUUGUAAAGCUCUUUCACCGGUGAAGAUAAUGACGGUAACCGGAGAAGAAGCCCCGGCUAACUUCGUGCCAGCAGCCGCGGUAAUACAAAGGGGGCUAGCGUUGUUCGGAUUUACUGGGCGUAAAGCGCACGUAGGCGGAUUGGUCAGUUAGGGGUGAAAUCCCAGGGCUCAACCCUGGAACUGCCUUUAAUACUGCCAGUCUUGAGUAUGGAAGAGGUGAGUGGA